GUGGCUGUGGCUUAGUGGUAGAGUGCUGGCCUAGCAUGCAUAUGAAGCCUUAGGUUCAAUUCCUCAGCGGCCACA
rnacentral:tRNA from 1 species